GCUGGGCUUGGUAGUGUGAGCCUGUAAACCAAGUGGGAGCAUUAAGAUGGUGGAACGAUUGGAUUUACCUUGAAAGCUGGGCUUGGGGUGCUAAUUUACUGACCUGCCUGUUCCAAGUGGUGAGUUGGGUUGUGGAGUCUUUGCGAAGGCCGAGACUUCUCAGCCUUUAGACCGGAGGGUAUUGCGUCAGGCUGGUUUCACAGAGCAGCGAACACCUCCUCCUCUCUGCAGUGGAAGGAUAACAGGCCGGAGCUUCUUCAGUCCACUAGAGCCUGAUGGGUCGCCCAAUUGAACCACCAUCUUU
rnacentral:SRP_RNA from 1 species